UGCAAGCGUUAAUCGGAAUUACUGGGCGUAAAGCGCACGCAGGCGGUCUGUCAAGUCGGAUGUGAAAUCCCCGGGCUCAACCUGGGAACUGCAUUCGAAACUGGCAGGCUUGAGUCUUGUAGAGGGGGGUAGAAUUCCAGGUGUAGCGGUGAAAUGCGUAGAGAUCUGGAGGAAUACCGGUGGCGAAGGCGGCCCCCUGGACAAAGACUGACGCUCAGGUGCGAAAGCGUGGGGAGCAAACAGGAUUAGAUACCCUGGUAGUCCACGCCGUAAACGAUGUCUACUUGGAGGUUGUGCCCUUGAGGCGUGGCUUCCGGAGCUAACGCGUUAAGUAGACCGCCUGGGGAGUACGGCCGCAAGGUUAAAACUCAAAUGAAUUGACGGGGGCCCGCACAAGCGGUGGAGCAUGUGGUUUAAUUCGAUGCAACGCGAAGAACCUUACCUGGUCUUGACAUCCACGGAAGUUUUCAGAGAUGAGAAUGUGCCUUCGGGAAC
rnacentral:rRNA from 1 species